GGCUGAUUUCCCAAGCGGUCAAAGGGAGCAGACUGUAAAUCUGCCGGCUCUGCCUUCAGUGGUUCGAAUCCACUAUCAGCCA
rnacentral:tRNA from 1 species